GGUCACGUGGCCGAGUGGCUUAGGCAACGGUCUGCAACACCGUGUACAGCGGUUCGAAUCCGCUCGUGACCU
rnacentral:tRNA from 1 species